AGUUGAAAGUAUAUUAACGUCGCAUUCGUAAUGCGAAGGUCGUAGGUUCGACUCCUAUUAUCGGCACCA
rnacentral:tRNA from 1 species